GCAGAGAGCUGAGCUGCUGAAUGG
rnacentral:piRNA from 1 species